rnacentral:rRNA from 1 species
ACCCGCUGAAUUUAAGCAUAUCAGUAAGCGGAGGAAAAGAAACUAACUAGGAUUCCCUGAGUAGCGGCGAGCGAAAGGGGAAAAGCCCAGCACCGAAGCCCGCGGCCUCACGGCCGCAGUGCAAUGUGGUGUUUCGGCGUCGGCACGCCUCGCGUCGCGCUGGCACAAGUAUCUCUGAACGGGUCGGCCCAUAGCGGGUGUCAGGCCUUUACUUGCCAGCCGCGACCGGGGCACCGCCGGCGCCGCGGAGUCGGGUUGCUUGAGAGUGCAGCCCUAAGUGGGUGGUAAGCUCCAUCUAAGGCUAAAUACCUAGUGCGAGACCGAUAGCAAACAAGUACCGUGAGGGAAAGUUGCAAAGAACUUUGAAAAGAGAGUUCAAGAGUACGUGAAACCAUUCAGAGGCAAACGGACAGAACUGGGCGAGUUCGGCGGCGUCAUUCAGCGGUGGGCCCUCGGGCCGGCCGUGCACUUGGCGCCGUCGGAGCACGGUGACCGCCUGUUUGGCCGUCAGAAGCCCGGCGGCAAGGUGGCCGCGCCCCUCGCGGGCGCGGUGUUACAGGCCGCCGCGGCGUUGGCCGGCUGAGCGGGCGAGGAGCGCCUGCUGCGUACUCCGCUCGCCCCCUCAAAAGGGCUUGAGCGGAGCCGCUCGCGGUGGUGGGCGGCGUGCGCGCCGGCGGCAGACUGCACCAGCAGACUGCCGUCGCGCCGCGUGCCCGUCUCGCCGCCCGGUGCGGUGGUUGCGCACAGGGUCCGAACCGUGUGGUUCCUGGCACUCUGUCCGACCCGUCUUGAAACACGGACCAAGGAGUUGAGCACACACGCGAGUCAAUGGGCCGUAAAAACCCCAAAGGCGAAGCUAAGGCAAAACGGGCGCGAUCCGGCACAAUUGAAUGUGCCGGCGCAGCGCCGGCCCGCAGCGUGCUCGAUGCGAGCUGCUGCGGCGCAAGAGCGUGUGUGCUCAGACCCGAAAGGUGGUGAACUAUGCUUGAGCAGGGCGAAGCCAGAGGAAACUCUGGUGGAGGCUCGCAGCGAUCCUGACGUGCAAAUCGGUCGUCAAACUUGAGCAUAGGGGCGAAAGACUAAUCGAACCACCUAGUAGCUGGUUCCCUCCGAAGUUUCCCUCAGGAUAGCUGGCACUCAGAGAUACUGGUUUUAUCCGGUAAAGCGAAUGACUAGAGGCAUUGGGGGCGAAACGCCCUCAACCUAUUCUCAAACUUUAAAUGGGUAAGAAGCGCGCCCCAUCUUGAUUGGGGGCGCGUGCUAGAACAGUGAGUGCCCAGUGGGCCGUUUUUGGUAAGCAGAACUGGCGCUGUGGGAUGAACCAAACGCCCGGUUAGGGUGCCUAAGGCACGCUCAUGAGACACCACAAAAGGUGUUGGUUGAUAUAGACAGCAGGACGGUGGCCAUGGAAGUCGGAAUCCGCUAAGGAGUGUGUAACAACUCACCUGCCGAAUCAACUAGCCCUGAAAAUGGAUGGCGCUGGAGCGUGCCACCCAUACCGGGCCGUCGGGGCAAUGCGUGUGCAAUGCCAGGCCCCGAUGAGUAGGAGGGCGUGUCGGUGGCGUUGAAGCGUUGUGCGAGAGCACGCGUGGAGCCGCCUUCAGUGCAGAUCUUGGUGGUAGUAGCAAGUAUACAAAUGAGAACUUUGUAGACCGAAGUGGAGAAGGGUUCCAUGUGAACAGCAGUUGGACAUGGGUCAGUCGGCCCUAAGAGAUCGGAGAGUUCCGUUCUGAACGGGGGAGUGCAGAAAGAGCUCCCGCCGGCACACACAAAGGCGGCAGCUGCUGCCCCUGCUGUGCGCGCAAAAAGCGAGUAUUGGCGCCGCGAAGAGUCGGGCGCGUGAAGCCGAGCUUGGCACAAACAACCCGUCAGAUAGAGGCACACAAGCCGUAAGUGGCAGGCGUCUACUCAACAAUAAAGAGAGCGUCGUGUGUCCUCGCCGCGGGCGCCCAAGCCGGUGGAUCGCGUGCGCUCUGGUGAUUGCGUCAGCUGAGCAUUGCGCACCGUACAGAAAAGGCAGGGUAGCAGAGCUGUCGUCGUGUCGGUGGCGGGCACCUGGUGACGCGGGUGUCCCCCCGAUGCGGUCGAAAGGGAAUCGGGUUAAUAUUCCCGAACCUGGAAGUGGAGAUUGGGCCUUCGGGCCCCAGUGCGGUAACGCAACCGAACACGGUGACGCCAGCGUCGAUCCCGGGAAGAGUUCUCUUUUCUUUGUUAGGAGCGGACUCCCUGGAAUUGGCUUGCCCAGAGAUAGGGACGUUGCAUCCGUAAAGCACAGCGCCUCACGCUGUGUCCGGUGCAUCGGCGCUGGCCCUUGAAAAACCGUGGGAGGCAGUGUAAUUUUCACUCCAGGCCGUACCCGAAUCCGCAGCAGGUCUCCAAGGUGAACAGCCUCUGGUCGAUAGAACAAUGUAGGUAAGGGAAGUCGGCAAGUCAGAUCCGUAACUUCGGGAUAAGGAUUGGCUCUGAGGUGCGGGCUGCUUCGGGUCGCGGCAAGAAGCGG